rnacentral:rRNA from 1 species
CAGUCGAACGAGACCUUCGGGUCUAGUGGCGCACGGGUGCGUAACGCGUGUUUAUCUACCCUUUGCUACGGAAUAACUCAGAGAAAUUUGUGCUAAUACCGUAUGAUGUCGUAAGACCAAAGAUUUAUCGGCAAAGGACGAGCCCGCGUAGGAUUAGCUAGUUGGUGUGGUAAAGGCGCACCAAGGCGACGAUCCUUAGCUGGUCUGAGAGGAUGAUCAGCCACACUGGGACUGAGACACGGCCCAGACUCCUACGGGAGGCAGCAGUGGGGAAUAUUGGACAAUGGGCGAAAGCCUGAUCCAGCAAUGCCGCGUGAGUGAUGAAGGCCUUAGGGUUGUAAAGCUCUUUUACCAGGGAUGAUAAUGACAGUACCUGGAGAAUAAGCUCCGGCUAACUCCGUGCCAGCAGCCGCGGUAAUACGGAGGGAGCUAGCGUUGUUCGGAAUUAUUGGGCGUAAAGCGUACGUAGGCGGUUAUUCAAGUCAGGGGUGAAAGCCUGGAGCUCAACUCCAGAACUGCCCUUGAAACUAGAUAACUAGAAUCUUGGAGAGGUGAGUGGAAUUCCGAGUGUAGAGGUGAAAUUCGUAGAUAUUCGGAAGAACACC